CAUUCACGGAGAGUUUGAUCCUGGCUCAGGACGAACGCUGGCGGCGUGCUUAACACAUGCAAGUCGAACGAUGAACCACCUUCGGUGGGGAUUAGUGGCGAACGGGUGAGUAACACGUGGGCAAUCUGCCCUGCACUCUGGGACAAGCCCUGGAAACGGGGUCUAAUACCGGAUACUGAACCGUCUGGGCAUCCAGGCGGUUCGAAAGCUCCGGCGGUGCAGGAUGAGCCCGCGGCCUAUCAGCUUGUUGGUGAGGUAACGGCUCACCAAGGCGACGACGGGUAGCCGGCCUGAGAGGGCGACCGGCCACACUGGGACUGAGACACGGCCCAGACUCCUACGGGAGGCAGCAGUGGGGAAUAUUGCACAAUGGGCGCAAGCCUGAUGCAGCGACGCCGCGUGAGGGAUGACGGCCUUCGGGUUGUAAACCUCUUUCAGCAGGGAAGAAGCGAAAGUGACGGUACCUGCAGAAGAAGCGCCGGCUAACUACGUGCCAGCAGCCGCGGUAAUACGUAGGGCGCGAGCGUUGUCCGGAAUUAUUGGGCGUAAAGAGCUCGUAGGCGGCUUGUCGCGUCGGUUGUGAAAGCCCGGGGCUUAACCCCGGGUCUGCAGUCGAUACGGGCAGGCUAGAGUUCGGUAGGGGAGAUCGGAAUUCCUGGUGUAGCGGUGAAAUGCGCAGAUAUCAGGAGGAACACCGGUGGCGAAGGCGGAUCUCUGGGCCGAUACUGACGCUGAGGAGCGAAAGCGUGGGGAGCGAACAGGAUU
rnacentral:rRNA from 1 species